CAGUUUGGUCCCUAUCUGCCGUGGGCGUUGGAUAUUUGAAGGGGGCUGCUCCUAGUACGAGAGGACCGGAGUGGACGAACCUCUGGUGUACCGGUUGUGACGCCAGUCGCAUCGCCGGGUAGCUAUGUUCGGAAGAGAUAACCGCUGAAAGCAUCUAAGCGGGAAACUCGCCUUAAGAUGAGAUAUCCCUGGAGGCUUGACCUCCUUGAAGGGUCGUUCGAGACCAGGACGUUGAUAGGUCGGGUGUGUAAGCGCAGUAAUGCGUUCAGCUAACCGAUACUAAUUGCCCGUAAGGCUUGAUCCUAUAACA
rnacentral:rRNA from 1 species